GAUGAACGCUGGCGGCGUGCUUAAUACAUGCAAGUCGUACGGUAAGGUUCUUUCGUGGCUUCCCGAGCGGUGAACGGGUGGGUAACACGUGAGUAAUCUGGCCACAACUUCGGGAUAACGCUAGGGAACUGACGCUUAUACUCGAUAUGUACUCCUGCUGCAUGUUGGUGGUUGGAAAGUUACGGCUGUUGUGGAUGGAUUCGCGGCCUACCAGCUUGUUGGUGGAGGAGUUAGCUACUAAGGCGGCGAAGGGUAGGCGACAUCGGGGGGUGAUCGGCCACAUUACGACUGAGAUACGGACCAGAAGCCUACGGGAGGCAGCAGUGGAGAGUAUUGCAGAAUGAGGGCGAGCGUGAUGCAGCGGUGCCGCGUGCGUGAUGACCGCCUUCGGGUUGUGAACCGGUUUCAGAAGGGAAGGAUCAUUUUGUGACGGUACCUGAAGAGGAAGCGCCGGCUAACUACGUG
rnacentral:rRNA from 1 species